rnacentral:misc_RNA from 1 species
AAAAUGCAUCCCGUUGUUCACCAUUUAUACGACAUUGAAAUUUGUGUAUAUUAUACUGGUUUUGGCAAUCGUAGAAUAGAGUUAUGUUUUCAAGCUCCGCUGCAUAACUGAACGGAGUCCCGUUCAGAGUUGUAUUUUUAAUGUCAGCAACAUUCCCGGGAGGACAAACAUCAUCCCAUAAAUCCCUUCGAGAAAUGGUCAUCACUAGGGUGAUUCACGAACUUCACAUAAAAUUCUUGAUCAUUUAUAGUUAUGACAGGGAACGGACCUUCUUGGCACCGGAGCCUGAAUCCUUGAUAACCGCAGAUUUCAGGUCGCUCAUCGCCCCAGAAAGGAUAAGAAAGAUUUGACAGGUUUCCACAGUGGAAUGGUGUGAAGCACUCUCUGUAAAACUCAUCUUCUUCACAAUAAGAUGU